UUGACUUUUUCUCGGAGCAAACAUUUUUUGCUUUUCUCAGAAGCAACUCCUCGUUUUCUUUCUCUCUUCGUCAAAAUCAAAAGAGCUCUGGGAGAAGAACAAGUUAAAGAGUUUUUUUCUUUCUUUCUUUUACCAUCAUUAAAAACUAUUCAAGAUUAGAUGGUGGAAAAACUGGUUGAGUUUUCUAUCUGAGUCUUGAUGUAAUAGGGGAAAUUGAUUUUUAGUUAGCCCGUUGAACUAUUAUUGCAGCAUCUGCAAAGACAUGACGAAGCCUAAAGCUGAUAUAAGUUCUUAAUUUCUUAGAGAUUGAAGAUGAACAAAAAUAAGAGACUAGAAAAUGCAACACCAACCCCAUUAGCUCCAUUGUCUGAAGCAAGGAUUACAGCUUCCAAACCAAACGCGGCAGCUUCCUCGACUUUGAAGACAUCAACUUAGCUGACAGGAACCUAACUAUGGAGGAGUUAGAAACCCAUGGUUUCCUCAUUUUUUGAACUUUUUUUGUAGAUAAUAGAAAUCUGAUGUUGGUUUGAAAAUUAUAUUUGUUUGGAUGCAUAAAUUUUCUUUGCAACAAAUAACAAAACCUGGCA